GAUGAAGAACGCAGCGAAAUGCGAUAAGUAAUGUGAAUUGCAGAAUUCAGUGAAUCAUCGAAUCUUUGAACGCACCUUGCGCCCUUUGGCUAUUCCGAAGGGCAUGCCUGUUUGAGUAUCGUGAACACCUCAACUCUCAUGGUUUGCCAUGAUGAGCUUGGACUUGGGGGUUUUGCUGGCCUUCGGUCGGCUCCUCUCAAACGGAUCAGCUUUCCAGUGUUUGGUGGCGUCACGGGUGUGAUAACUAUCUACGCCUGUGGUUUUCUGCCAGAUAACCUUCAGCGAUGGAGGUUCGCUGGGGCUCAUAAAUGUCUCUCUUCAGUGGAGACAGCUUUUUGGACGUUUGAUCUCAAAUCAGGUAGGACUACCCGCUGAACUUAAGCAUAUCAAUAAGCGGAGGA
rnacentral:misc_RNA from 1 species